rnacentral:lncRNA from 1 species
AAAAAUAAGAUAAAUAAAUGGUGAGAUUUUUCUAUAAAUAAAAUGGGUAAAUUUUUGUAUCAGGAGUCAAUUAAACAAUGUUGGUAUCUAUAUCCUCUCUACCCUUCUCUUGUGCUUGUUGGAGUUCUAUCGUUUUAAGCUAAUUUUUUUUAUCUUUGGUAAAAAACGUUUAAGCUCUUCCUUCUCAUUAGAUCUAUGUUAUUAUUUUCACUCUCCAACCUGGUGUAGUGCUUAAUUUUUUAAAAACAUUUCAUAAUAUUUGAUAGGUAAUUAUUUUUAUUCUCGUUUCUUCUCCUCCUAUUUAUCAAUUUUCGAGUUUCGUCGUUCCGAUUCUUUUCUUGAGAUGUGGGUUGUUUUCUUCAGAUCUAUGAUUGUAUGCUUGUAUUGUUGGUGUCCCUGAUUAUUUCUUUUCUACCACUAUCUAUAGACGGUAUUGAGUCCUGUAAAUAUGGGUUUUCUGCUGGUUGAAAUUCUUGUGAAAUGACAUUUCUGCCUGCUGAAGCCAUGGGGGAUGGGUUGUCUUCUUUGUCCUAAUUUUACUCAUGUGAGCUUCAGAUUCGGAAGUUUCGUUUUGAUACGAGUAAGAUCAUGACCUUGGACACUUUUUGAGAAUUUUAAAGAGCACUUAGAAGAGUGCAUAAGCCCAAGUGUGAAGAAAGCCCAAAACCAUCCUUUUGAUGCAUUUAAGGGGCUGCUUUUGGAAAGGGUUCUUUUGUUAUUUUUCUAUUAUGUGUAAUGUUGUAUAAAUAAAAUCUUGUAGGAUUUAUUUUCUUAGUUUUUGAAUGUUAUUGAAAAAAACUCCUUUGGAGAGAGAGCAACCGUAACUAGGGUGAUACUAGCGUGGAAUCACUAGUGUUGCAAAAUAUUGUUAGAAAUCUUGGUGCUUGAGAGGUGGACACCCUCUUGUGUUAUUGUAGAGUGUUGAUGUUGAUAUUACGAGGGUUAAGGGUCUUGGUGUUGAAUAUAUAUGUUGAUUCUUAUUAUUUUUAAUAUUGUAUGUCACACUUCUUAUCUUUUGUUCUUGUAAUCGUUGUACUAGUUUGUAGUUAUUUCUAGUGAAGCCGUGUGUUGUUGUUACAUUAUUCUUGUGUUUCGUUCCUAUUGAUAUCAUCUUAUUCUUCUGGUGUAGCUGCUGUUUUGGUGUUGAACACCUAGUAAGUUUUGGAUUCUUGAGUUGUCAUCUUGUAGUCGUUUGGUCUCUUGUACCUUGUGGAAUGUUUUGUGGGAUGUUUUGGUGUUUUUCCUUGAUCAUUUUGUAUCAUUUGGUAUCAAAGAGAGGUUUAAUUUUGUUCCAAUAAAAUUAAUCUUGAGAUUGUUAUCUUGAAAAUUAAAAAAAUAAGUGAAAAAAAGAAAAAAGUUAAUGUUCACGUUUUUACGAUUUCAAAAAAAAACUUGAUUUUUGUGUGUUUCUAAUGUUAGAUCAUUGUUCCCUAACACUAUUAAAGUCUAGAAAUUGAAAAUUUCAACAAAAAAGAAGUGUAAAAAUCAAAAAUCCCCUCAAAAAAAUACUACACCCCUUUUUUUACCCUAGGUCAAAUUUUGAGUUUUUGAUUUUGUAUUUUUCUUGUAUUUUUUGUGUUAGAUUUGUGUUCUCUAACACUAUAGGAGUAUAAGGUUCAAAUUUGAGCUGAAUUGGAGGUUAUUUAAGUCAUCCACCAUUGUUGAGUUUGAGUUUGAAGAAACUUGAAGGUGAGAUCUCAUUGUGGGAGGUUGUUUUGAACUAAUGUGUGUUUU